GAUGAACGCUGGCGGCGUGCCUAAUACAUGCAAGUCGAGCGAACAGAUGAGGAGCUUGCUCCUCUGACGUUAGCGGCGGACGGGUGAGUAACACGUGGAUAACCUACCUAUAAGACUGGGAUAACUUCGGGAAACCGGAGCUAAUACCGGAUAAUAUAUUUAACCGCAUGGUUCAAUAGUGAAAGACGGUUUUGCUGUCACUUAUAGAUUGAUCCGCGCCGCAUUAGCUAGUUGGUAAGGUAACGGCUUACCAAGGCAACGAUGCGUAGCCGACCUGAGAGGGUGAUCGGCCACACUGGAACUGAGACACGGUACAGACUCCUACGGGAGGCAGCAGUAGGGAAUCUUCCGCAAUGGGCGAAAGCCUGACGGAGCAACGCCGCGUGAGUGAUGAAGGUCUUCGGAUCGUAAAACUCUGUUAUUAGGGAAGAACAAAUGUGUAAGUAACUAUGCACGUCUUGACGGUACCUAAUCAGAAAGCCACGGCUAACUACGUG
rnacentral:rRNA from 1 species